rnacentral:ncRNA from 1 species
CGCUCCGGUGCCGUCGACGACUGAAAGACAAAGAACUUCAGGGAAAACACCCCCCGCCAAACCCCACCCCUCCCGCCCGUGGUCGCGCUCACUCGGGCGGGUGAACAUCCUCGAACCGGCUGGAUUUCGCGGCCCCCAAGGGGCGACGCUCAGCGCAACGCACCACCGCAACCACAGACAUGAGACGGCCCCCGCCGGGACGGACAAUCCCGGUGCGAGGGCCUGACCACCGAGGAAGAAGAAGGCUUCCCG